UUGAUUCAAAUCAUGGAUUCAGACAUAAGACGGAUUCCUGCAUGAAGACGGCGCCGGAGCGCCGAAGCACGGUUCGCUUCCACGGUUCAUGGGUUUGAAGGUCCACGGGCCAUUCAUUAAUGAUCCCUCCGCAGGUUCACCUACGGAGA
rnacentral:misc_RNA from 1 species